rnacentral:rRNA from 1 species
CAUGCAAGUCGAACGAACAUAUCUUUCGGGAUGUGUUAGUGGCAGACGGGUGCGUAACACGUAGGUGACCUGCCCUUAAGUGGGGAAUAACUAUCCUAAAGGAUAGCUAAUACCGCAUAAGUUCGGUGAUUCGUUUCAUCGAGUAAAGUCGCAAGACGCUUUGGGAUGGGCCUGCGGCGGAUUAGGUAGUUGGUGGGGUAAUGGCCUACCAAGCCGAUGAUCCGUAGGGGGCGUGAGAGCGUGGCCCCCCACACUGGCGCUGAGAUACGGGCCAGACUCCUACGGGAGGCAGCAGUGAGGAAUAUUGCACAAUGGGCGAAAGCCUGAUGCAGCAACGCCGCGUGAGGGACGAAGGCCUUCGGGUCGUAAACCUCUUUUCUGGGGAAAGGGACAGGACGGUACCUCAGGAAUAAGUCUCGGCUAACUACGUGCCAGCAGCCGCGGUAAAACGUAGGAGGCGAGCGUUAUCCGGAUUUACUGGGCGUAAAGCGCACGCAGGCGGUUCCGUUAGUCGGACGUGAAAGCUCCUGGCUUAACUGGGAGAGGCCGUUCGAUACUGCGGGACUUGAGGUUGGAAGAGGGGUGUGGAAUUCCCGGUGUAGUGGUGGAAUGCGUAGAUAUCGGGAGGAACACCUGUGGCGAAAGCGGCACCCUGGUCCA